rnacentral:rRNA from 1 species
CACGUAGGAGGCGAGCGUUUGUCCGGAAUCAUUGGGCGUAAAGAGCGCGCAGGCGGCUUGGCAAGUCGGGUGUGAAAUCCCGGGGCUCAACCCCCGUGACUGCAUCCGAUACUGUCAGGCUAGAGGUAUGCAGGGGGAGAACGGAAUUCCUGGUGUAGCGGUGGAAUGCGCAGAUAUCAGGAGGAACACCGGUGGCGAAGGCGGUUCUCUGGGCAUUACCUGACGCUGAGGAGCGAAAGCAUGGGGAGCGAACAGG